rnacentral:ncRNA from 1 species
GAAAACGCCGUGACUAGUCUAAGUAGGUCUUCAUUUAAGAGAGUAUUCGUUUGGCUGAAAGAAUACACGUGAGACCGAACCACAACUAAGAGCUGGUGUACUGAAGCGCUAAGUGAGUAAGUGCACCCGUUUGACCCCGUUACCGGUCCAAGUUUUAACGAACUUACUGAGGUAGCCAUCGCGAGGUGGUUACAAAUCAGAGGUGGAACCGUGAUGAAUAAUCGCCCUCUCG